GAGUGGCAUCAGGAUGCCUGAGAGGAGAGCAUGGUGUUUCUGCUUCAUUGGAUCCAUGCAGGUCUUGGAGGGUGGUGGCUCACUCUUUCUGGGCCAAGUAGAGGGUGGCUCAGACACCCCCCUUCCUCCAGGCUUCUCAUCUGUAACUGGUGAAGCCCGGAAGAGCUUGUUGUUCAAGAGGAAAUCUUGUGUUACUUCUUUAUGAAGGACUCCAGCCUGGUGGAGAUGAAUGAGUCCUGAAGAUGGAAUCGAAGCUGUUUGGGCACAAUACUUUAAUCAGCAUUUAAUGACCCAGUCGAAAAUUCAUUGUUUGGACCCAAGCACUGGUGGGAAAGGCAGGAGGGGAGGCCUGCCUUCCUUCCUCCCUCCCGAGCCCUACAGCAGGCCAUGGAGUGGUGAGCGAGUUCGUACAGUGCCAACCACAUUCCCAGAAACUUCCAGCAGAGGUUAAUCCUGCUUCUCUCAGGUGGGCUUGGCCCAUUCUCUAGACUUUGGAAGGUAAUGUUCUAUAGAGGCCUGUUCUGAAGCUUUACCAGGUCAAACCGGAGAAGAACCCAACAAGUAACUCAUCCCAGCCUAACUAUUCUUCAAGGGCAAUCAACCUACAGCAUCCAAGCACAGAGAAAUCAAAUCCAUGGAGAAUCUUCAAAUUAGGCUCAGAAUCCAUUUGGGUCACUGAAUUUACUGUUAUUAAGAUCUUAGUUGUGUUCAACCAUGAUUUGACAUACCUUAGAGUGAGAAGAUA
rnacentral:lncRNA from 1 species